GAAAAUUUAAAACCUGGAUUAUUAGUAGUUAAGUUCUUGAAAAUUAAUAAAGAUGGCGGUAUUUUAGUCUAUUCAGAGGAAUCUGCCCUGUGAUUGAUAUUCCACGAUUUAAUUUACUUGGAUUCUAAGCUUAUAUAUCGCUGUAGAUUGAACAUUUUUAAUGAAUUUUGAAUGUUCAUGAUGUUUAGGGAAAAAAAAUCAAGUCAAGAUGUAGCUUAUAUCUAAGAAGAGGUGGAUUACAUUGUUUAUAUUUUUGGUCAAUUAUUUGAAAUGAUUAUUGUAAAUUGGAUUUGAUAGUAAUUUUUUACUAAGAUUUGAAAGAUGAUUCAAGCUC
rnacentral:rRNA from 1 species